CAAGGAAGAAGAGAUCCACUGUCCAGCCCGCGCGGUGCACCCUGAAGUUGAAGACGUCUGCUGUGAGGUUGAGACGACAUGAUGUGCUGUGAAGAUUGUUAGCGGUGACUGAACCUGAAAACUUUUCAGAAGACUGAUCACAGAGUCAGCCGUGGUCAUCCCUCUACAUAAAGGAUCCUCACAGGACUGGAUGCACCGACUGAUCUGCAGCACCAGGAGUCUGAAAGUUGCCUCAGCUGACACGCCAUGUGUUUCAGAGUGCAGACAAAAGAUGCCGAGAUUCCCGUUUGAUCCCACACACAAUUGCACAAACGCUCGCUCAUCACACUUGUUUCUGUAAGGAAACCUCUUUUUCAUCAUUUCUCUCUUUCAUAAGUGUAUGCAUCACACCGAAUCAUUGUAUAAGGAAACUAAACAAUAAAAACCUCUGAGUUUAAUCAUUUGAAGGUAAGAUUACCUCAUAAACCUGAGAAAAAAACUGCGUCUCUGCUCAAAUGUCUAGUGGGGCCACAUCCAUCUGGGAUGUUGGGGUGGAGUUAUACUUUUUAGGGAGAGUUUGGGUGACACAAUGUACACCAGAUGGCAGAGAAUAAUUUAGUUGAUUGAUUGAAAUGUUUUUUUAUGAACAUGUAAAAAUCAUGAUCUAACCCAAGUAAGCAGCACAAAAUAUGAAUACAAAAUAUGAGAUACAGCAUUCUGCAUAUUGUGCCUUUAAAGCUUAUUGCUGCAUGGACGGAUUUUUGUUUCAUUCUUUUUUAAUUUAAAAAGUUGACAUAUUUGUGAUAAUUACAAUACAGUCACAUAUUGAAAAUGCUGGACUAAAGUAGGUACUAUUCAUAUUGUUAAUUCUGCAUCAUUAGUGAGGCUUAUAUCCAAAUGUCUCAAACAUUAUUAACAUUUUUCCUAAAUAGGUAAAAGAAAAA